AGUGAACGCUGGCGGUAGGCCUAACACAUGCAAGUCGAACGGCAGCACAGUAAUUUCUUGCUCUUACGGGUUGCGAGUGGCGUACGGGUGAUGUAUACAUCGGAAUCUACUUUUUCGUGUGUCUUUACGUAGGUAAACUUACGCUAAUACCGCAUACUACCUACCGUUGAAUGCAUUGGAUCUUCUCACCUUUCGCGAUUGUAUUAGCCGAUGUCGGAUUAGCUAGUUGGCGGGGUAAAGGCCCACCAAGGCGACGAUCCGUAGCUGGUCUGAGAGGAUGAUCAGCGACACUGGAACAGAGACACGGACAAGAGUACUACGGGAGGCAGCAGAGGGGAAUAUUGGACAAUGGGGGGAAGCAUGAUCCAGCAAUACCGAGUGGGUGAAGAAGGCGGUGGGGUUGGAAAGACCUUUUGUUGGGAAAGAAAAGCAGCAGGUUAAGACGAAGCUGUAGUGACGGUAACGAAAGAAUAAGCACCGGCUAACUACGUG
rnacentral:rRNA from 1 species